GAUGAACGCUGGCGGCGUGCCUAAUACAUGCAAGUCGAGCGAACAGAUGAGGAGCUUGCUCCUCUGACGUUAGCGGCGGACGGGUGAGUAACACGUGGAUAACCUACCUAUAAGACUGGGAUAACUUCGGGAAACCGGAGCUAAUACCGGAUAAUAUAUUGAACCGCAUGGUUCAAUAGUGAAAGACGGUUUUGCUGUCACUUAUAGAUGGAUCCGCGCCGCAUUAGCUAGUUGGUAAGGUAACGGCUUACCAAGGCAACGAUGCGUAGCCGACCUGAGAGGGUGAUCGGCCACACUGGAACUGAGACACGGUCCAGACUCCUACGGGAGGCAGCAGUAGGGAAUCUUCCGCAAUGGGCGAAAGCCUGACGGAGCAACGCCGCGUGAGUGAUGAAGGUCUUCGGAUCGUAAAACUCUGUUAUUAGGGAAGAACAAAUGUGUAAGUAACCAUGCACGUCUUGACGGUACCUAAUCAGAAAGCCACGGCUAACUACGUG
rnacentral:rRNA from 1 species